AGAGUUUGAUCCUGGCUCAGAACGAACGCUGGCGGCGUGCUUAACACAUGCAAGUCGAACGCGAAAAGGGACUUCGGUCCCGAGUAGAGUGGCGCACGGGUGAGUAACGCGUAAGUAAUCUACCCCUGUAUCUGGAAUAACCCACCGAAAGGUGAGCUAAUACCGGAUACGUUUAUCUUGAUGCGAAUGAUGAUAAAGAAAGGUGGCCUCUUCAUGAAAGCUACUGUACAGGGACGAGCUUGCGUACCAUUAGCUAGUUGGUAGGGUAAUGGCCUACCAAGGCGACGAUGGUUAGCGGGUCUGAGAGGAUGAUCCGCCACACUGGAACUGGAACACGGACCAGACUCCUACGGGAGGCAGCAGUGAGGAAUAUUGCGCAAUGGGGGCAACCCUGACGCAGCGACGCCGCGUGGAUGAUGAAGGCCCUUGGGUCGUAAAAUCCUGUCAGAUGGAAAGAAAUGUACAGGUGUUAAUAUCGCCUGUAUUUGACGGUACCAUCAAAGGAAGCACCGGCCAACUCCGUGCCAGCCGCCGCGGUAAUA
rnacentral:rRNA from 1 species